UGGGGAAUUUUGGACAAUGGGGGCAACUCUGAUCCAGCAAUGCCGCGUGUGUGAAGAAGGCCUUCGGGUUGUAAAGCACUUUUGUCCGGGAAGAAAUCGCACCUGAUAAUACCGGGUGUGGAUGACGGUACCGGAAGAAUAAGGACCGGCUAACUACGUGCCAGCAGCCGCGGUAAUACGUAGGGUCCAAGCGUUAAUCGGAAUUACUGGGCGUAAAGCGUGCGCAGGCGGUUGUGCAAGACCGAUGUGAAAUCCCCGGGCUUAACCUGGGAAUUGCAUUGGUGACUGCACGGCUAGAGUGUGUCAGAGGGGGGUAGAAUUCCACGUGUAGCAGUGAAAUGCGUAGAGAUGUGGAGGAAUACCGAUGGCGAAGGCAGCCCCCUGGGAUAACACUGACGCUCAUGCACGAAAGCGUGGGGAGCAAACAGG
rnacentral:rRNA from 1 species